GACGAACGCUGGCGGCGCGCUUAACACAUGCAAGUCGAACGGAAAGGCCUGCUUUCCUUUGUGGAUUGCGGGUACUCGCGUGGCGAACGGGUGAGUAACACGUGAGUGAUCUGCCCCCAACUUGGGUAUAAGCCUGGGAAACUGGGUCUAAUUCCCGAUAGGACUGCAGGGUGGUGCCUGUGGUGGAAAACGAUUUUCUAGUGGUUGGGGAUGAGCUCGCGGCCUAUCAGCUUGUUGGUGGGGUAAUGGCCUACCAAGGCGGCGACGGGUAGCCGGCCUGAGAGGGUGGACGGCCACAUUGGGACUGAGAUACGGCCCAGACUCCUACGGGAGGCAGCAGUGGGGAAUAUUGCGCAAUGGGCGGAAGCCUGAUGCAGCGACGCCGCGUGGGGGAUGACGGCCUUCGGGUUGUAAACUCCUUUCGACCGCGAGGAAGCCACCUGGUUGGAAGGGUGGUGACGGUAGUGGUAGAAGAAGCACCGGCUAACUACGUG
rnacentral:rRNA from 1 species